GGCAGCCUGGUCGCACCAAAGGGACAAAGUGCAAGCGUGUAGGAUACACCCAGAAGCCUUUGAUGCUGCUCUACAGCGAGCCCGGGCUCUGAUCUGAGCGACUGCAGGGCCACGUGAUUCUUGGUUGCUUAUUUCUGCCUCUCAGCGAAGCAACCACAGAAAAGGUCUGCUUCCCUUCUCGUUUCAAGACGGCCCUGACACCUGAAAACCCCGCUGCUGGCUGAGCACCGGUCCUUGUGAGGGGAGCAGCCCCGGGAUCCCGGAGGGGCGGCUCUGCAUUUCUGUUUUUUGAGGAGGAUGCUGUUGUAGAGGAGGGCAGCGAGGUCUGGCAGCCCCAGCCAGUGCUCUCUCUUUGGUAGUCACCGCCACAUUUACCUUCCCCCGUCUUGAGGGUGUCAGCCCAACAAGCGCUGUCCGUGCUCGCAGCCCGGGGUGCAGCAGAGAGGUGUCUGCCCUUCCAAAACCGGGGCUCAGAGCCUUGUCCAGCCCCUGUGAUGCUCGGAGGCAGCUGGUGUGGUGGCGGAGGAGCGCGCCGAUAGCCUGGAAGCAAAGCCAAGCCCUCUGGAGGGCGCGUUUCUCCACGUCCUGUGCCACCGGUGAUGGAUUGUCCCUUAUACCCUUGUGUUUUUCUCCGCUCUCUCCCCCGACAUCUGCACAUCAAUGAGCUGACGUUGAAGGAUGGCUUCAGGUGCCGGGGAGCGGGAUGCCCGCCUGCCGCCUCCGAUCAAAGCAUCUCCGCCGGACUCACAGCCAAGGGCGAGCGAGGACAGAGCUGGAGGGCUCCCGGCUGGCCCUGGGGGAUGAACUUGGGCAGGGAGGGCGCAGGGUGUAAGCGCCCCUGCCGCAGCGUGCCGAGGGCUCCGCAGGACGUCAUCUGCUUUUCUAUUUUUUUAUUCCCUUUAUUUUUUCCGAGGGCCUCCCCUGGGAGCCGCAAGCGGUUUGAUCGACACUACAAAGAAAGCACGCGAGGUCGGAAGGCAUUGCGAGCCCCGGACCAAGGCUUGUGUGUCGUUCCCUGCAGUGCAGUGUUAGGAGGUGGCAUCUUUCAGGCCCUCCCGGCUGCUUUUGGGAGCCGUCCAAGGAAAGGUUAAAAAGCAAGACUGCAGAAUAACCCCCGUGUCCCGACCAACAGCCGCCCUCGUACUAAAACAGCACCUGAUGUCCAAGGCUGCCUGCGAGCUAUUGCCGAGGCCACGAGGGCUCAUUAAAGUGUAUUGAGAUGCCUCGAGCGUGAAAGUUGCUGCAUAAAAUCAGAUUCUUUUUAUUAAAUGAGGACAUCCAUUACUUUGCACUAGCUACUGUACAUGUUAUAAUUCACUUUAUAGCACCAUCUGUUAGGACUGUCUUGCUUAAGCUUUUUGUAGCAUCUUUUUAUUGUAAGUUAUUAAAAAAUACGGCGGCAUCUAUUAAUCAUUUAUUAAUAAAGGGCUUUUAAAUGGACCCUUAAUUUCCA